ACGGGAGGCAGCAGUGGGGAAUAUUGGACAAUGGGGGAAACCCUGAUCCAGCGACGCCGCGUGAGUGAAGAAGUAUUUCGGUAUGUAAAGCUCUAUCAGCAGGGAAGAUGAUGACGGUACCUGACUAAGAAGCCCCGGCUAACUACGUGCCAGCAGCCGCGGUAAUACGUAGGGGGCAAGCGUUAUCCGGAUUUACUGGGUGUAAAGGGAGUGUAGGCGGCUGCGCAAGUCAGAAGUGAAAGCCCGGGGCUUAACCCCGGGACUGCUUUUGAAACUGCGUAGCUUGAGUGCAGGAGAGGCAAGCGGAAUUCCUAGUGUAGCGGUGAAAUGCGUAGAUAUUAGGAAGAACACCGGUGGCGAAGGCGGCUUGCUGGACUGAGACUGACGCUGAGGCUCGAAAGCGUGGGGAGCAAACAGGAUUAGAUACCCUGGUA
rnacentral:rRNA from 1 species